GCAACAGUUCUUCACAUGAACAACAUAAUUUGCUUGACUUGGAACCCAUAUAUCUUCACAUAAUUGCGAUGUCACAUAACAGCAACAUAAUCUCUCACAUCAGCAUGACUUGAAACCAAAAAUAUCUCAUACGUUUUCAGCAUUCACAAGUCCGAGGAAAAACAUGCGUACAUUUAAGCAUGCUGAGAAUACAUAAGACAUGCGUACAUUUAAGCAUGCUGACAACAAUAGCGCCGACACAAAAGCAACUGACUCUCAAAUAGACGAUUUCGAGGGACCUUGCAAACGUCCCAUUCUUCCUCUGCUUUGUUCCACUUCUCAACCUGGUUUAAUAAUGACACCAGAAAAAAACUGAUGAUACUGAAGAAAACAAGGUAAUGUUGCUACUGUUGACAAAAUUAUAUCUCAUUUAAAUUCAAUGCAGAUAUUUCUCAUUCAAUUUCAAUUCCAAGACCAAACAGAGGAGCCAGUUGACAGAGGGAGUACUUAUGUACAAGUAAAUGAUCAGGUAUAUUUCAAGUAAAUGAUAUUAAGAGCACAACAACAAUCAGGUAUAUUUCAAGUAAAUGAUAUUAAGAGCACAACAACAAUCAGGUAUAUUUCAAGGAAUUAUAUGAUGGCCUUGUUAGAGCUACAUCAAGACCAACAGAGGCUGUAGACUGUUUUGGACUUUUUCUUCUUUUCCCUUGAACCCAAAAAUAGGGGAGAACAGCUGAAUCUUUGGAGGCAUUUCAGAUUUGCUUUAUCAUGAGCUAACAAACUGUUCCAGGAAUAAUUCUUUAAAGAAAGAUGCUUUCCAGAUUACAAACUAAUAAUUCGUCAAGACAGACAAACCAAUGUAUAGGCUGGUCUGCCAGUAUGACAUAUCUCUGUCUUUAGAUAUCCAAGCACAUUAUUCUAGCACCAUACUGUGUUGGCCCCAACAGUAAUUUAUAGGAGUAGAUAGAAGUACAUGCAGUACAAGAACGUUUCCGUCAAAAAAUAACAGAGAGGAGAUGGAAGGAACAAAGCAAAUUAUUGUUGUGAACACGCCACUGAUAAACAUAACAAAACAACACGACAGCAACGGGUUCCCAAGAUGGAGGCAACUCAUCCACCCCAACAAGGAUCCAAGCGGCAGGCUGUGAAGAUAAAAGUCACACACAUUUCAUCAUAAGUAUUAUAAGUAGCAGAAUUUCAUCAUUAUUUCUAAUCUGAUGGCACACACAUUUGAAUAGAAACAUUGCAGGAUGGUUUGUUCCAAUGCAUGCAGAAGAUGGAAAAUUAGAAUCAAGACCAAAAUAUCGAGUGCAUUGCUACAGCUUGUAGAUAACUACAAGUUGUAGAAUAGGGCAACAUGGCAAUUAGCCAACUAAUAUCAGUGCCACACAUUGCAGGAAUGAACCUCGGCAAUUAAACUAGGAAGAUCAAUACUAAACUGACAUAUGUUCUGCUUAGUUAAAAAACCCAGUAUAUAUGCAUAUUUGAUUCAAUUGCAUACCACUUUUUUUAUACAACCGACAAGAUAAACUAGCACAUAGAGGUGCACAACAGCAACAUCCUAACCAAACGAUAUAGUGACAAGGAAUUAUAUGAAAAAGAAACAGUAGUGAUAGCUUUUUUCCGUUUUAAAUAUUCAGUUCAACAACGACAACAACAACUCAGGUAUUCAAUACUCAGCAGAAAAUCUCUCCAGAUUUAUGUGAUCCUGACUCUGCCUCUUGAUUGACGAAGAGCUUUAAUUAGUGAGCUGCUAAGCUUGGCAAGUGGCUGGCAUCAUGUGAUCCUGACUGGCCUCAAUUAGAAAGAAUGCAUACUACCAUUUAUAUUUUAAUUUCAUUGGUCUGGUGAGAUGUCCACGAUGUAAGCAGGAUGACAUUUCCUUCCCAAAAGAGCAAACUAACAGCCCAUUAAUGAUAGAAGAAACAAGAAAGGACCAAAUGGUGAACAAUGAUAGGAGCCAUGGGAUUACUGAAGCUGGCUGUGUCAACCUGCAGGAAACAUUGAUGAUCAAUUUGCCUCUUGAACAAUUCGAAACGCCAUGAGUUGGACGGUGCAUCAGAGGUAGCAUCCACGAAAAUGGCCUCUGAAUUAAGAUCUCAAGUUUCAGAACCACAAGGACCGAGCAAAGUCAUUGCUACCGUUGUGCACUCAACGGGGAAGAAUCCAAGGUUUCUCUCUCUCACUAAUCCAAGUGUUAGUACACCGUGGCCAUCCAGGGCUACCACGCCGGAGGAGACCGCGUCGCCGGGGAGGAAGAGGUAGCAGCCAUGGCCGAUGGCAAACCCUAGACGACGAGGGGAAAGGAGGGGAGGCAAGGACUUACCACCGUGGAGAAGUCCAGUAUGCCAGAGGAGAUUGCCGG
rnacentral:lncRNA from 1 species